rnacentral:rRNA from 1 species
CCUACGGGGCGCAGCAGUGGGGAAUAUUGGACAAUGGGCGAAAGCCUGAUCCAGCCAUGCCGCGUGUGUGAAGAAGGCCUUCGGGUUGUAAAGCACUUUCAGUGGGGAAGAAAGCCUUGGGGCUAAUACCCUCGAGGAAGGACAUCACCUACAGAAGAAGCACCGGCUAACUCCGUGCCAGCAGCCGCGGUAAUACGGAGGGUGCGAGCGUUAAUCGGAAUUACUGGGCGUAAAGCGCGCGUAGGCGGUCUGAUAAGCCGGUUGUGAAAGCCCCGGGCUCAACCUGGGAACGGCAUCCGGAACGGUCAGGCUAGAGUGCAGGAGAGGAAGGUAGAAUUCCCGGUGUAGCGGUGAAAUGCGUAGAGAUCGGGAGGAAUACCAGUGGCGAAGGCGGCCUUCUGGACUGACACUGACGCUGAGGUGCGAAAGCGUGGGUAGCAAACAGGAUUAGAUACCCCGGUAGUC